CAACAAGGACCCAGAGAGGGCUUGAAAGCUGGCCCACUCUAGUGCCAAUGGCAAAAAAAUGUCAAGUGCCAAUUAGGAGAGGUUUGCCACCAUUCAGCAAUACCCCACCCCUGUAGUCCUUCCCCUCCCUGCUUACCCACCCCAACUCUCUCACACUCCAAGUCACCCCUGGUUUUACCACCUUAUUCCAAUUUCAGACGUGGCCUUCCCCUACUGACACCCAGAGACAAAAGCUGGCUCCCUCCUCUCUGGCUAAUGGAGGAUCCUUUCUGCUUGGCUCAGAGUAUUAGUAAAAUCAGACAGCAUGGUCCGUUCACCGAUUAGUCAGCUUUCUUUGUUGAUUACUUUGAAUAGGGUUCAAGAACUAUGCAAGAUACAGAGUCCACCUGCUUGGGAAUAUUGAACUUAGCAAGCUGGCUGCACUGUGCUACUUUUGUUUUAGACUCCCAGGUUUGCAUGUGCAGGUGUGGGUAAUUGAGGGAAGGAUUGUGGCAGAGACAGACGCUGAUUUAAACAAUUAACAAUUCUCCCUUUCAUCUGAAAUCCACAGUGGUUGUUCUGUGUUAGUGCUAAUGACAUUUAGCCACCUAAUGGCUUGCUUUAAGCUAGUCGUGCUUAUUAUUUUGCACGGAUGCACAUAGAAACAUAGAGAAAGGCUGCAGAGACACUAUUUAAACUUAGAGUGCAGACUUUUAGUCAGCCUUUAAGGCUUAAGGAAAAGUAGAUUUGCUACAUGAAAUCCAAGUUAGCUCAACUGAUGGUUGGAUCUGAUUUGCAUGCAUUUGCAUAAUGAAAGUCAUUUGCAUGCUCAGGGGCAGACUGUACCAUGAGAACAGACAUGAAAAGGCUACCACAUUACUGAAGGAAAGCUGGCAAAAGAAGACUGAAAAACAGAGAAGGAGGAGGAGGAGGGGUUGUUGUUGAUUCUGCCCUCCCUCUCUCCUCGCCCUCCACUGCAUUGCCUCUUCCCUCCUCCUCUUCCCUUCCUCAUCCACUCCAUCCUCAGCAGACUGCCCCUUUUUCCUGUACAGCGAAACGCAGCCCGCGCCACCAUCUUAGAGCAACGCUGGCAUGAAAUGGAAGUGGGAAGACCAGUCAGUGCAGAUAAAUGUGAUUGGUGCAGGGGGGAUCCAGAAUGGACAGAGCACACAAAAGGAGGACGGUGGGACUCCUCCUUCAUUCGCUGCCUUUUAGCUGGAGUAAACACGGAGGAUGGCGAUGCUGUCUGCACGCGAGCCAGCAGUGAUUCCUGCCAUAACUGUGGAACGCUGUGUAUGUCUCCUUGAUGCAUCGCUCGAACCAACACUCAGCCUGGACUGCUUGUGAAUGACUUUUGGUGUUUUAACUGAGCAAACAUCAUCGUGGACUCCAAUCAUGGAAACCUGGGGGACUCAGUGGAAAAUAAGCAGCCCGAGGGCUGGAGGAACUGCUUGAUAAUUGUGACUCUUCUUUCUUUUAUUUGUAGAUGUGGCACUGAAUUUUGUAAUUAUUAUCCUAUAUUUGAUUGUAAAAAAAAUAUUGUAUAGACAUGAAGGAAUAUAAUCUGUGUUCAGCUAUCAUAGGCUCCACUUAAUGUAGGCUGUAUUUGAUUAUUUGUAGCCCAUAUUUUGCUCAUUUUCUCUUUUGUUAUAGUUGCUAGGACUCAAAAGACAUGUGAAUGUGAGACCCACGGCAGCAGUGAAUAAUACUGCACUGCGAUUGGGCAGCUCCGUGUGUCAGCUGACACAAUGGCGAAGGAGUGAGCUGUCGUCUUUAUACUCUAUGCAACUGUUCUCUUUUUUUUCCUUUCUUUAUUGUUUAGGGGAAAAAACCUUUUCAUAUUUAUUUUGGAUUAUUUUUUGAGCCACAAGUUUACAGAAAUUCCUUCAGACAUCAUCAAGAGAAAU